rnacentral:rRNA from 1 species
UACAGAGGUCUCAAGCGUUGUUCGGAUUCAUUGGGCGUAAAGGGUGCGUAGGCGGCGCGGUAAGUCGGGUGUGAAAUUUCGAGGCUUAACUUCGAAACUGCAUUCGAUACUGCCGUGCUUGAGGACUGGAGAGGAGACUGGAAUUUACGGUGUAGCGGUGAAAUGCGUAGAUAUCGUAAGGAAGACCAGUGGCGAAGGCGGGGUCUCUGGACAGUUCCUGACGCUGAGGCACGAAGGCCAGGGGAGCAAACGGG